UAUUCUGUUACUCUUAUGGGGUUAUUUCUGUCCACUGCAGCGAGGGUCAAGUUGACCGUGGUGUCAGAUUGGCCACUAAAACAAAUACGCUGCUGCAGCUGUGUAAACAUGGACUUUCGAUGGACACGUAGGCACUUGCUGGUUGCAUAAACAACACAGCUUUAUAUAGUGGGCAUGGGGAGAUGUUUCUUAGAGUGCUUCGCAGAGGGUCUGCUGCAGUCAUCCAGCUGACCUUUUCCGACCUCUCAGUUUGUUCUGCAGACGAACCUCCAGGUGAAUUCGGCCACCACCUCUCUCAUGAUUAUUCUGUGAUUGUACUAUUUCAUUAUGUGUAAUAAAUUCAUUUGUUAAUUUGAGCAUAAAAGUUUGAGUCCGUGUGAAAUCUCUGAUAAGGUCGGACCACCAAAAUACACGACAAAAUGGCGUCACGAACACAGGCCUGAGGAGCCAUUUCCAGAACCAACAUUUGUCCGGACUGGCCCGGACGCACGACCGUCGUCAUCAGUGAAGGCAAAGGAGAUUCUGGAGGAGCCAGAACCGAAAGUGAAACCAGGAGAUCUGGUGUACGUCAAAGUGUUCAGGAGAAAGUGGGACCACGCCAGACGAGAAGGUCCCUACACGGUGGUCAAAGCAACUGCAAGAGCGGUUCAAGUUCAAGGAUCCCCCACCUGGUACCACCUGAAUCACUGUGUUAAAGUACCUGAGGGGGAAAUAGGGAAAGGAGCCAAAGAAGAACGAGAUGAAGGAGGGAAAGACAAAAGGAGGGAUCUUAUUCCUCCUGUUUCUUGUAGUGACGUUGGACGGGAUGCAGAUGCCCCGCCAUCCAGGGUUCUCCGGAGACGGAAAACCAUUGAGAAAGGAGAAAGGAAAGAGGAGAGUUAAGAAAAAUGUGUUCCAAUGGCGUGAAGAAGGUGUUCCAGUGCAGGGGUGGCCAGGCCCCCUAGAUUGGGUUUCAAACGACGUCAACUGGAAGUACGCCCCGGGGGAGAUGUGGAGCGCUCAACUACAGAAAAGAGAGUGGGAUGAUAGUAGUGAGCGUACGGGUAUUUUUGUGUAUGUUAAUUCGGACCAACACGGGACAGGCUACGACUGCGGGUUAGAUUAUGUUAGGAAUGUAAAUUCCAGUAAUUUUGUUCUCUUUCCCAGGGGAGUAGGAAGGUGCGCCAUUGGAGUAAAGGAAAGUGAGCGGAAUGGAAGCAAGUUCUGGGAUGUUAAAGUAGCAUUCCGGCCACCUCAAUGCCGUUUGGACCAGGACAGGCCAUGAAGAGGCUGAGGUCGCUGAGGAUGGAGGUGAAAGAGGCGGCUGGCAGCGAUGCGAACUUGAGCUGGACAAACUGGCUGGAGAGUGUGGCCGGAGGAUGGAGACAAGGGCUGAUCAAACUGGGGGUAAUGAUUACUGUAGGAGUAAUAGCUUUGGGACUGAUUUUUUGUUGUUGUAUUCCUUUCUUGAGAUCAGUAGCGCUUAGAGCCGUGACCAAGCAGAAUUUGCAGAUGGCAGUUAUUGAGCUGGGAGAAAAGUAUGGGUGGAAGAGUGUAGGAAACGAGGAAGGUGACGUGUUUCCAGUUCCGGAAUGGAUCCACAUCACGACUCUAGACGAGGACAAGGACGAAGAAAAGGACGAGGAUGAAGACUCCCAGUUGGUGUGAUGGUGAAAACGGCCUACGAUACGUCAUGAAGGAAGAAAAAAAAAAAAGAGACUAAUCAUACUGAAAAUAAGCUAAGAUGGUUGUUUAAUGAAUUUUAAUACUGAUGUUUUAUUAGUUGUAAUAGUCAGAUUUAUCCUUGUAUUAAUAGUAGUAUUGGAAAUGUAUCAUAUUCUUGUGGUAGCAGUAGUAUUAAAAAUGACAUAGUAGUAACCACCUUAUAUAGGUCUCAUGAUUCUGUGUAUUGUUUCAUUGUGUUUAAUAGACUUAAUAGACCUGCUAUGAGGGUCUAAGUGUGUGAAACUUGUCAGUAAUUUGUUUUUGUGUUCUUUUUUUUUAGGGGGCCGGUACUGAAUUCACCUGUGAAACGUUCGGAGGUCAUCAAGCUGGCUGCCCUGAGAAGUCCCAUAGGAACAGUAUGAUGAAUUUGGCCAUAUUAAGUGAAAUGCCCACAUUGCUAAGGUUAAACAAAACGUAAAAUGGGGUUGGGACCUUGCUAGUGCUUAUCACUGGUUUAAGGUAGUUAAAGUAAAUUGGGCUUAGUUUAAUGGACAUUAUCUGUCCAUUGAGGGGGAAAUUCUGUAGUAUAUUCUGUUACUCUUAUGGGGUUAUUUCUGUCCACUGCAGCGAGGGUCAAGUUGACCGUGGUGUCAGAUUGGCCACUAAAACAAAUACGCUGCUGCAGCUGUGUAAACAUGGACUUUCGAUGGACACGUAGGCACUUGCUGGUUGCAUAAACAACACAGCUUUAUAUAGUGGGCAUGGGGAGAUGUUUCUUAGAGUGCUUCGCAGAGGGUCUGCUGCAGUCAUCCAGCUGACCUUUUCCGACCUCUCAGUUUGUUCUGCAGACGAACCUCCAGGUGAAUUCGGCCACCACCUCUCUCAUGAUUAUUCUGUGAUUGUACUAUUUCAUUAUGUGUAAUAAAUUCAUUUGUUAAUUUGAGCAUAAAA